GAUGAACGCUGGCGGCGUGCCUAAUACAUGCAAGUCGAGCGAACAGACGAGGAGCCUGCUCCUCUGACGUUAGCGGCGGACGGGUGAGUAACACGUGGAUAACCUACCUAUAAGACUGGGAUAACUUCGGGAAACCGGAGCUAAUACCGGAUAAUAUAUUGAACCGCAUGGUUCAAUAGUGAAAGACGGUUUUGCUGUCACUUAUAGAUGGAUCCGCGCCGCAUUAGCUAGUUGGUAAGGUAACGGCUUACCAAGGCAACGAUGCGUAGCCGACCUGAGAGGGUGAUCGGCCACACUGGAACUGAGACACGGUCCAGACUCCUACGGGAGGCAGCAGUAGGGAAUCUUCCGCAAUGGGCGAAAGCCUGACGGAGCAACGCCGCGUGAGUGAUGAAGGUCUUCGGAUCGUAAAACUCUGUUAUUAGGGAAGAACAAUGUGUAAGUAACUAUGCACGUCUUGACGGUACCUAUCAGAAAGCCACGGCUAACUACGUG
rnacentral:rRNA from 1 species